rnacentral:rRNA from 1 species
UUGGCAAUCAUAAGCGGAGGAAAAGAAACCAACAGGGAUUGCCUCAGUAACGGCGAGUGAAGCGGCAAAAGCUCAAAUUUGAAAUCUGGUACCUUUGGUGCCCGAGUUGUAAUUUGAAGAUAGUUUUCUGGUGCUGGCCCUUGUCUAUGUUCCUUGGAACAGGACGUCACAGAGGGUGAGAAUCCCGUCUGGCGGGGUGUCCAGUGCUUUGUAGAUUUCUAUCGACGAGUCGAGUUGUUUGGGAAUGCAGCUCUAAGUGGGUGGUAAAUUCCAUCUAAAGCUAAAUAUUGGCGAGAGACCGAUAGCGAACAAGUACAGUGAUGGAAAGAUGAAAAGAACUUUGAAAAGAGAGUGAAAAAGUACGUGAAAUUGUUGAAAGGGAAGGGUAUUAGAUCAGACUUGGUGUUUUGUGAUUAUCUUCCCUUCUUGGGUUGUGCACUCGCAUUUCACUGGGCCAGCAUCGGUUCGGGUGGUAAGAUAAUGACAUUGGAACGUGGCACUGCCUUCGGGUGGUGUGUUAUAGCCCUUGUUGAUGUUGCCUAUCUGGACCGAGGACUGCGGCUUUUGCCUAGGAUGCUGGCGUAAUGAUCUAACACCGCCCGUCUUGAACCCGGCCA